AUUGAACGCUGGCGGCAGGCCUAACACAUGCAAGUCGAACGAGUGGCGGACGGGUGAGUACUGUCUGGGAAACUGCCUGAUGGAGGGGGAUAACUACUGGAAACGGUAGCUAAUACCGCAUACCAUCGGAUGUGCCCAGAUGGGCUUAGCUAGUAGGUGGGGUAAAGGCUCACCUAGGCGACGGUCCCUAGCUGGUCUGAGAGGAUGACCAGACAGACUGGAACUGAGACACGGUCCAGACUCGUACGGGAGGCAGCAGAGGGGAAUAGUGCACAAUGGGGGCAAGCCUGAUGCAGCCAUGCCGCGUGUAUGAAGAAGGCCUUCGGGUUGUAAAGUACUUUCAGCGGGGAGGCGUUACCCGCAGAAGAAGCACGGGCUAACUCCGUGCCAGCCGCCGCGGUAAUUC
rnacentral:rRNA from 1 species